rnacentral:rRNA from 1 species
UACAGAGGGGGCAAGCGUUGUUCGGAAUUACUGGGCGUAAAGGGCGCGUAGGCGGCCUGCUAAGUCGAACGUGAAAUCCCUGGGCUCAACCCAGGAACUGCGUCCGAUACUGGUUGGCUUGAAUCCGGGAGAGGGAUGUGGAAUUCCAGGUGUAGCGGUGAAAUGCGUAGAUAUCUGGAGGAACACCGGUGGCGAAGGCGGCGACCUGGGCCAAUACUGACGCUGAGGUGCGAAAGCGUGGGGAGCAAACAGG